rnacentral:rRNA from 1 species
GAUGAACGCUGGCGGCGUGCCUAAUACAUGCAAGUCGAGCGAACGGACGAGAAGCUUGCUUCUCUGAUGUUAGCGGCGGACGGGUGAGUAACACGUGGAUAACCUACCUAUAAGACUGGGAUAACUUCGGGAAACCGGAGCUAAUACCGGAUAAUAUUUUGAACCGCAUGGUUCAAAAGUGAAAGACGGUCUUGCUGUCACUUAUAGAGGGAUCCGCGCUGCAUUAGCUAGUUGGUAAGGUAACGGCUUACCAAGGCAACGAUGCAUAGCCGACCUGAGAGGGUGAUCGGCCACACUGGAACUGAGACCCGGUCCAGACUCCUACGGGAGGCAGCAGUAGGGAAUCUUCCGCAAUGGGCGAAAGCCUGACGGAGCAACGCCGCGUGAGUGAUGAAGGUCUUCGGAUCGUAAAACUCUGUUAUUAGGGAAGAACAUAUGUGUAAGUAACUGUGCACAUCUUGACGGUACCUAAUCAGAAAGCCACGGCUAACUACGUG